rnacentral:rRNA from 1 species
GAUGAACGCUGGCGGCGUGCCUAAUACAUGCAAGUCGAGCGAACGGACGAGAAGCCUGCUUCUCUGAUGUUAGCGGCGGACGGGUGAGUAACACGUGGAUAACCUACCUAUAAGACUGGGAUAACUUCGGGAAACCGGAGCUAAUACCGGAUAAUAUUUUGAACCGCAUGGUUCAAAAGUGAAAGACGGUCUUGCUGUCACUUAUAGAUGGAUCCGCGCUGCAUUAGCUAGUUGGUAAGGUAACGGCUUACCAAGGCAACGAUGCAUAGCCGACCUGAGAGGGUGAUCGGCCACACUGGAACUGAGACACGGUCCAGACUCCUACGGGAGGCAGCAGUAGGGAAUCUUCCGCAAUGGGCGAAAGCCUGACGGAGCAACGCCGCGUGAGCGAUGAAGGUCUUCGGAUCGUAAAACUCUGUUAUUAGGGAAGAACAUAUGUGUAAGUAACUGUGCACAUCUUGACGGUACCUAAUCAGAAAGCCACGGCUAACUACGUG